rnacentral:misc_RNA from 1 species
GAUGAAGAACGCAGCGAAAUGCGAUAAGUAAUGUGAAUUGCAGAAUUCAGUGAAUCAUCGAAUCUUUGAACGCACAUUGCGCCCCUUGGUAUUCCGAGGGGCAUGCCUGUUCGAGCGUCAUUAUAACCCCUCAAGCUCAGCUUGGUGUUGGGGCCUGCUGCAAUGGCAGCCCUUAAAAUCAGUGGCGGCGCCAUCUGGCUCUAAGCGUAGUAAUUCUUCUCGCUAUGGAGUCCUGGUGGAUGCUUGCCAUCAACCCCCAAUUUUUCUAUGGUUGACCUCGGAUCAGGUAGGGAUACCCGCUGAACUUAAGCAUAUCAAUAAGCGGAGGA